GGGCCCGCACAAGCGGUGGAGCAUGUGGUUUAAUUCGACGCAACGCGAAGAACCUUACCAGGUCUUGACAUCCUGAUUUUGGUUGUUAGAAAUAACUUCCUUCAGUUCGGCUGGAUCAGUGACAGGUGCUGCAUGGCUGUCGUCAGCUCGUGUCGUGAGAUGUUGGGUUAAGUCCCGCAACGAGCGCAACCCUUAUCUUCAGUUGCCAUCAGGUUAUGCUGGGCACUCUGAAGAAACUGCCGGUGAUAAGCCGGAGGAAGGCGGGGAUGACGUCAAGUCCUCAUGGCCCUUAUGACCUGGGCUACACACGUGCUACAAUGGCAGUGACAAUGAGCAGCGAUAGCGCAAGGGUGAGCUAA
rnacentral:rRNA from 1 species